AUGAGUAGUCACGCUUCCUCUGUCGCGGGGAAAGGGUCUGUAGGUGCCUUGUGAUGUCACAGCUGGUUGCUAUGGAGAUCAGGUUGCUGUAAAUGUCAGUCUGGGUCCACCAGGAGCACAGUGAUCAGCAUCCCAGUCUGGCGCAGGGAGAGAGGAAAAUGAGGCACCCUGGGGGCUCUCCUAAGUGCCUCUCCCCGCGCCCCAAACACGCGGACGCACACAGCGCAGCCAGCAGGCCCCGCGAACGUCCCCUGGCCCGCCCCGCGCGUGGCAAUAUGUGUCUGGGGAGAAACAACCCUGGCAGCCGAGAGCAGGGUGACACAUGGUCCGCAUCAGUCACUGUCCCCUCCCGCUCCUUCUGGAAGAAAGGUGCUGCUCAGCAGGUGGCAGUGGCAUCCAGGGCGUCCCCAUGGCAACACUGACUGAGGUCAGACCUCAUCACUGCGCUGACCUCACUCGGGGAGCCACUGGACCCGGGCUGGGCUGUCGCUGCCACGGGGGGGAAAUGGAAAAGCUGGGAAGAGGCUUUCCAGAAAAACGAAUCUGCCCUCUCAGGGUCAUGGCUUCUCCCGACAAGGAACUUGACCUUUCCGGACUCUGUGUUCACCGCCAUUGCUCGGAAUAAGAGGCAUCAGACAGAGAUUCUGGAAGCUGCUUUUCCCCACUUAGGCAGGAACGUGUCAACACCAGCACACGGAGGCCCGGGAGCUGGAGAGGCCUUUGCAGGACCCCUCGGGGAACUUCUUGCCCACCCCCCCCCCCCAGCAUGGACUGCCACGUCAGACUGCUCUCGGGGGAGAAGAGGGGUCCCAGGGGCUGGCGGGCUCCUCAGGUGCCGGGCCCCGCAAUCUCAGGAGCUGUGGGAAGGGAGACGAGUCGGGGAAGGAUCGCACACCCACGCAGCCUCGGCCUCGGCUCUCUCCUGAGUCACCGCCAAUUAGCUGAGGCAGGUGGGGAGCGAGGUGGGUGAAGGAGGGGCCCUUAGGUGCGGAGAGAAGAGGUUGGAAGGGGUGCGUUUGCAGGGAGAGCUGGAGGCAUGAACGGGCCCCCAGAGGUGGAGGGGACACCCAGGGCCUGUGUUCUGUGCAGUCAACCCCAUCCAACCGACCUGAGCACAGCAGCCAGCCUGCAGGGCCUGCGCCUGAAGCCAGAGGGCCGCGGGGGGGGGUGUGUGGAGGUGACCUUCCUCACUACAGGGGCCAGGGAGCUCCGAUAACAGGACGGCCACCGUUUACUGAGCACUAACAACAUGCCAGGCGUGGGCCAAGCCCUUCGCUCAGUGGUAACAGCGCUUACUUUGUGCAGGACUUCUACCUGCUCUCCCUCACACAGUUCUUACUAAGCAGACGAGGAAAAGGGGGCCCAGAGAGGUUAAGUGACUCGUCCCAGGUCACCCAGGAUGGGGACUCCAGAGCCCGUGCUCCGGAACCUUCACGGCAGCUCUGGGGAUAG